AAUCUCUGCCUAUGCCCAGAACCCACUAUUGCUCCAAUUUCUUAAACUUUUAAUUAAUUUCUUUGUUUUAUUAGCUCAACUGUCUCCCAUCCUGUGUCUCUCUGGUGUUUCUCCUCGCAUAGGUCUGAGGGCAUUAGCUUGACUCUUGGAGCAGCUGGGGCCCCUGAGGCUCAGGCAUGAAGUCGGAGCAGGUGAGGGCAGCCUGUGGAGGCCUCCAGAGGUGGGUAGUUGUUCAUUUUUCUACUCGACUUCCCUAAUUGUUGGCCUUUUAUAACUGAGAGUGCUGGUCUGGUCUGGGUGUGGGGUGUCUGUGUGUUUCCGGGCUGGGCCUGGGGUGGAAGUGGUGGGGGAAGCUUUGCUCCCGUGAGAUCCGAUACGCCCUUAUCCACCGGGACAUGUGCACUGGAUUCAGCUGGAGGGGCCCUUGCAGACUGUUGCUGGUUCGGCCGUGUGUGCCCACCCUGUUGGGUUUCUCCUGUUCUCUGCAUUAACUGCGGCUUCUGCCCAGUUUAAACAGAAGAUUAUUGAACUGGAAGCAGCAGCCGAUUGCUGUUUGCAGUAUCUUUACAGCUCCAAGUGGCCCACAGACAAUUUGUGCAAGAUGGCUGCAGGACACCAUCCCUGGUGCUCCCCUCAGAGGCCCAGGGUAGGAGGAAGCAAGGCCAUCUCCUCCGGGGCUCUCUCCAAAGAGCCAGGAGGGUUUUCUUAGGAGCAGCCUGGUAAACCUCUCGUUUCUCAUUGGCUGGAAGCCACGUUUCCAUGGAGAGGCGGGACCUCCUGCUCGAGGAACCCAGGCCUCAAUCCUCGGAUCCCUCCUCUCUGGCUAACCCCCAU
rnacentral:lncRNA from 1 species